rnacentral:tRNA from 5 species
GGGUCGUUAGCUCAGUUGGUAGAGCAGUUGACUUUUAAUCAAUUGGUCGCAGGUUCGAAUCCUGCACGACCCACCC